rnacentral:rRNA from 1 species
UGAGGAAUAUUGGUCAAUGGGCGAGAGCCUGAACCAGCCAAGUCGCGUGAGGGAAGACUGCCCUAUGGGUUGUAAACCUCUUUUGUAAGGGAAGAACCGACAUUACGUGUAAUGUUUUGCCAGUACCUUACGAAUAAGCAUCGGCUAACUCCGUGCCAGCAGCCGCGGUAAUACGUAGGGGGCAAGCGUUGUCCGGAAUUACUGGGCGUAAAGAGCACGUAGGCGGUAACCUAAGUCAGAUGUGAAAGACCAGGGCUUAACUCUGGGGUUGCAUACGAAACUGGGUAACUAGAGUGCAGGAGAGGAAAGUGGAAUUCCUAGUGUAGCGGUGAAAUGCGUAGAUAUUAGGAGGAACACCAGUGGCGAAGGCGGCUUUCUGGACUGUAACUGACGCUGAGGUGCGAAAGCCAGGGGAGCGAACG